rnacentral:ncRNA from 1 species
UCUAUGAGCUGCGGUUAAGGUUCUCGCCAUCCGACAUGGCGAGCUAAGAGGGAAUCCGGUGCGGCGCUUGCGCCCAAACCGGAGCUGCCCCCGCAACUGUAAGCGGCGAGUCAUCCGUCGAUCUGCGUCACUGGUGAGAGAUCACCGGGAAGGCCAGACGGGUGGCGGCGACCCGUGAGCCAGGAGACCUGCCAUGACCGUGAAAUGUCUC